rnacentral:lncRNA from 1 species
GGUGGGCGACCCUUGGGGGGCAUGGGCAGGUGAGUGGCCCUUCAGGGGCGUGGCAUGUGCAGGUGGGCAGCCCUUCCAAGGGCGCGGCCAGGCAGUUGGGCGGCUCUUCCAGGGACAUGGGCAGAUGGGCCACCCUUGGGGUGCAUGGGCAGUGGAGCAGCCACCGGCCCUGACCUGGACCACGUGCUGGGCGCCUCCUGGCAGCCCGUUCUGCUCCCGAAUGCCCCGGCUUAGUCAGUCUGGGAUGCGGCCCUGGACACCGGGCUUUAUGCAGCUCUGAAGUGAUCCCAGCACACAGCCCGGGUCAAGCUCAGCGCUCGGCAACCAUAGGCACCCAACAACGGGCUGCAGCCAUCAGUAACAACGGCAGCUCCAACGCCCAGAGAACUCACGGAGCAGACACACAUCAGAUGAAGACGCGGAGGCCUGAGCGCUGGGGGUCGCCCGGGGCUGCACAGCGGGUCAGAGGCCAACCCUGGGCGGAGCCAGGCCACACCCUCCCUCAAGGAUUCACAGUCUCCCCAAAGUAACCGCAACGAGGGACCCUCCCGUCACCAAACUUCCUUUCAGUCACUUCCGCUUGUACUAAUUCUGGCCCAACCGUUCAUUAUAUUUUUACAAUUCUUAUCUUGGUGUGUAUUUUUUGACCCUAAAAAUCCUAACUCCAUUCCAUCAAUAUUUUGUAUAUGCAGAUUUCUAGCACAGUAAGUCAUAAAAUGUGCCUCUCCUGGCA